CUUUACCUCUUCCCUUGAACCAUCGUAGUGCCAAUUGGAGAUUCCUAUACUCUCAAAUAAUUCUGCAGUUUGCGCUGCAUCCAUGGUGUAAUUUGUGCCAAAUUUAGUCAGUAACUUCUCCGCUGGAACAGUUGCAGUAUUAGCGGUCACGAUUAGUGAAACGAACAAAAUAAAGCGCGGCCAACCACAUAACCAGACACUCAUGUUAAGUCCUUAAUUCCUCGAACAGCAAUAGAUGACGAGUUUAGGUAAAGAGCA